rnacentral:rRNA from 1 species
UACGGAAGGCAGCAGUGGGGAAUAUUGCACAAUGGGCGCAAGCCUGAUGCAGCCAUGCCGCGUGUAUGAAGAAGGCCUUCGGGUUGUAAAGUACUUUCAGUCGUGAGGAAGGUGUUAAGGUUAAUAACCUUAGCAAUUGACGUUAGCGACAGAAGAAGCACCGGCUAACUCCGUGCCAGCAGCCGCGGUAAUACGGAGGGUGCGAGCGUUAAUCGGAAUUACUGGGCGUAAAGGGCACGCAGGCGGUUAAUUAAAGUUGGAUGUGAAAAUCCCCGGGCUUAAACCUGGGAAUGGCAUUCAAGACUGGUUAGCUAGAGUCUUGUAGAGGGGGUAGAAUUCCAUGUGUAGCGGUGAAAUGCGUAGAGAUGUGGAGGAAAUACCGGUGGCGAAAGGCGGCCCCUGGACAAAAGACUGACGCUCAUGUGCGAAAAGCGUGGGGAGCAAAACAGGGAUUAGAUACC